AGAGUUUGAUCCUGGCUCAGGAUAAACGCUGGCGGCGCACAUAAGACAUGCAAGUCGAACGAACUUAACCAAUUGUUUUACUUUUGGAGCGGUUAGUGGCGGACUGGUGAGUAACACGUAAGCAACCUGCCUAUCAGAGGGGAACAACAGUUAGAAAUGACUGCUAAUACCGCAUAUGCCAUGAAUAUCACAUGAUAUAAAUGGGAAAGGAGCAAUCCGCUGAUAGAUGGGCUUGCGUCUGAUUAGAUAGUUGGUGGGGUAACGGCCUACCAAGUCGACGAUCAGUAGCCGGACUGAGAGGUUGAACGGCCACAUUGGGACUGAGAUACGGCCCAGACUCCUACGGGAGGCAGCAGUCGGGAAUAUUGCGCAAUGGAGGAAACUCUGACGCAGUGACGCCGCGUGCAGGAAGAAGGUUUUCGGAUUGUAAACUGCUUUAGACAGGGAAGAACAAGGACAGUACCUGUAGAAUAAGCUCCGGCUAACUACGUGCCAGCAGCCGCGGUAAUACGUAGGGAGCAAGCGUUAUCCGGAUUUAUUGGGUGUAAAGGGUGCGUAGACGGGAAGGCAAGUUGGUUGUGAAAUCCCUCGGCUUAACUGAGGAACUGCAACCAAAACUAUCUUUCUUGAGUGCUGGAGAGGAAAGUGGAAUUCCUAGUGUAGCGGUGAAAUGCGUAGAUAUUAGGAGGAACACCAGUGGCGAAGGCGACUUUCUGGACAGUAACUGACGUUGAGGCACGAAAGUGUGGGGAGCAAACAGGAUUAGAUACCCUGGUAGUCCACACCGUAAACGAUGGAUACUAGGUGUAGGGGAUGAAUAAUCUUCUGUGCCGUCGCAAACGCAGUAAGUAUCCCACCUGGGGAGUACGGCCGCAAGGUUGAAACUCAAAGGAAUUGACGGGGGCCCGCACAAGCAGUGGAGUAUGUGGUUUAAUUUGACGCAACGCGAAGAACCUUACCAGGGCUUGACAUAUACAUGACAGUCUAAGAGAUUAGACCUCUCUUCGGAGCAUGUAUACAGGUGGUGCAUGGUUGUCGUCAGCUCGUGUCGUGAGAUGUUGGGUUAAGUCCCGCAACGAGCGCAACCCCUGUUCUUAGUUGCCAGCACGUUAAGGUGGGAACUCUAAGAAGACUGCCGGUGAUAAAUCGGAGGAAGGUGGGGACGACGUCAAAUCAUCAUGCCCUUUAUGUCCUGGGCUACACACGUACUACAAUGGCUGUAACAAAGGGAAGCGAAACCGCGAGGUGGAGCAAAACCCAAAAAAGCAGUCUCAGUUCGGAUUGAAGGCUGAAAUUCGCCUUCAUGAAGCCGGAAUUGCUAGUAAUGGCAGGUCAGCAUACUGCCGUGAAUACGUUCCCGGGCCUUGCACUCACCGCCCGUCA
rnacentral:rRNA from 1 species